rnacentral:lncRNA from 1 species
CAGAGGCUUAAAGUACGCGUCUCGUUCUAAGCAGCCGUUUGGGCAGGACCUGCCCAAAUUCGUCUGCUCGUAGGCCGUUGUGACGGCCGUGAAUCUACAUUCCACCCAUUUCUCGGAUUAUACGAUGACCCUGGCUAGAGACGAUAAUAUAUUUACUGCGACGAAUUUACUCAAUACUCACUUUGCUCCAAUUACUGUGUGUGUGCGAACCGAGCUGCACUUAUGGCUACUGCCAGUAGCUACUGAUGAGGCUGCUGCUUCCAAAUGAUGAGCGAAAUUAAGCGCCACCGCGCGCGCGCGCGCGCGUGUGUGUGUGUGUGUGUGUGUGUGUGUGUGUGUGUGUGUGUGUGUGUGUGUGUGUGUGUGUGUGUGUGUGUGUGUGUGUGUGUAUAUAUGUGUGUGUGUAUUUCGGGGCACCCUCAUCCUAUAACCCUAGUCAACUUCUCAGUGGAUCGCUCAUGUUCCGCACCCAUCCCCGGCAUCCAACGGAAUCUGUCGAAUCAACGGUGACUCAUGAGUCGGAUCAACUCCGUUCCUGGUCAGCUCGCAUGUCAACUUUAUCCCAGGC